rnacentral:rRNA from 1 species
AUCCGGAUCGAGGACAGUGUAUGGUGGGCAGUUUGACUGGGGCGGUCUCCUCCUAAAGAGUAACGGAGGAGUACGAAGGUGCGCUCAGACCGGUCGGAAAUCGGUCGCAGAGUAUAAAGGCAAAAGCGCGCUUGACUGCGAGACAGACACGUCGAGCAGGUACGAAAGUAGGUCUUAGUGAUCCGGUGGUUCUGUAUGGAAGGGCCAUCGCUCAACGGAUAAAAGGUACUCCGGG